GCGCAGGCGGUCCUUUAAGUCUGAUGUGAAAUCUUGCGGCUCAACCGCAAGCGGUCAUUGGAAACUGGGGGACUUGAGUGCAGAAGAGGAAAGCGGAAUUCCACGUGUAGCGGUGAAAUGCGUAGAGAUGUGGAGGAACACCAGUGGCGAAGGCGGCUUUCUGGUCUGUAACUGACGCUGAGGCGCGAAAGCGUGGGGAGCAAACAGGAUUAGAUACCCUGGUAGUCCACGCCGUAAACGAUGAGUGCUAAGUGUUGGAGGGUUUCCGCCCUUCAGUGCUGCAGCUAACGCAUUAAGCACUCCGCCUGGGGAGUACGGUCGCAAGA
rnacentral:rRNA from 1 species